CUACGGGUGGCAGCAGUCGAGAAUCAUUCACAAUGGGGGAAACCCUGAUGGUGCGACGCCGCGUGGGGGAUAAGGUCUUCGGAUUGUAAACCCCUGUCAUGUGGGACAUUAAAAAGAUAGUACCACAAGAGGAAGAGACGGCUAACUCUGUGCCAGCAGCCGCGGUAAUACAGAGGUCUCAAGCGUUGUUCGGAAUCACUGGGCGUAAAGCGUGCGUAGGCUGUUUCGUAAGUCGUGUGUGAAAGGCGCGGGCUCAACCCGCGGACGGCACAUGAUACUGCGAGACUAGAGUAAUGGAGGGGGAACCGGAAUUCUCGGUGUAGCAGUGAAAUGCGUAGAUAUCGAGAGGAACACUCGUGGCGAAGGCGGGUUCCUGGA
rnacentral:rRNA from 1 species